rnacentral:rRNA from 1 species
GGGGCACCCUGAUCCAGCCAUGCCGCGUGUGUGAAGAAGGCCUUCGGGUUGUAAAGCACUUUCAGCGAGGAAGAACGCCUAGCGGUUAAUACCCGCUAGGAAAGACAUCACUCGCAGAAGAAGCACCGGCUAACUCCGUGCCAGCAGCCGCGGUAAUACGGAGGGUGCAAGCGUUAAUCGGAAUUACUGGGCGUAAAGCGCGCGUAGGUGGCUUGAUAAGCCGGUUGUGAAAGCCCCGGGCUCAACCUGGGAACGGCAUCCGGAACUGUCAGGCUAGAGUGCAGGAGAGGAAGGUAGAAUUCCCGGUGUAGCGGUGAAAUGCGUAGAGAUCGGGAGGAAUACCAGUGGCGAAGGCGGCCUUCUGGACUGACACUGACACUGAGGUGCGAAAGCGUGGGUAGCAAACAGGAUUAGAUACCCUGGUAGUCCACGCCGUAAACGAUGUCGACCAGCCGUUGGGUGCCUAGCGCACUUUGUGGCGAAGUUAACGCGAUAAGUCGACCGCCUGGGGAGUACGGCCGCAAGGUUAAAACUCAAAUG